CUCUUGAUCUCAGGGUUGUGGGUGUAGAGAUUACUUUAAAAAUAAAUAAAAAUUAAAAAAAAAUAAGAAUAAAUAAAUAAUAAAAAAGAAAACUAGUAUAAAAAUUAGAUCCUUGUAGAGAAGUUAUACCAAACACCAAGAAUACUCUAAAAGAAGGAACCUGUCAACCAGUGUAUUGAGGCCCUUGUUUAACAGGUUUUAUCAAAUCUGAUACUGAUAACAUUUAGAAAACUCAGUCAGUUGCCUUUGAGAUGUACUGUGUUCAAAAAAAUGUAGUUCCCUUGGUCAGUGGUUACAGCAUAUGUCAGUUCUAAUGAGUUUAUUCUUUAAUCUAGGGCAGGAAUAAGUUCGCUUCUGUUAAACAUUUUCUCUCUCCUAAAUCAGUUUGCAGACAUUUUAGGAGCCCUUCCAACACCUGAGCUGAAAAUAUUGGCUUCCUCUCUGAUUAAAACCAUCCCAGCAGUUAGCAAACAAUGACCAGAGGUUUUAAAUGUAGCUCCUGUAGAUGCUUGAGAAAACAUCUUGAAACAGUAUGGUAAAUAGAUUCAGAGAAGGUGUGCGGUUUGGCCAAAGAAUUAUUAAAACUUGCUUUCUGUUUCUAGGGCUACUGUCAUGUGAUCUAGGAGAAUUUAGAUAUAUAAUGUCUCCUGAUAUAAAAUGGAAGAAAAGAGCAUCCCAUCAUAUAAUGGGAUUCCAGAUGUCAUGGCAGGAAGAACUGUAGCUGCCGCAUUAGUAUUGACUCACAUAUCCAAUGGAAGUCUGUGAAAGCCUACAAGCACAGUUCUUGGGCACACAGGGAGAGGAAAUUGCUGUUAUGGUUUGAAGCUCUGUUUAGGUCAUCUUAUGAAAUUAAUAGCCACAAAAGUGGACAUGAGCUUUUUAUUACACCCCUAAAUCCUAGGUCAUUAGAAAAUUUGUUAAUGUAUAUUGAGUUUUUCAUAAUAAUAAUAGUAGUAGUAGUAAAAGAAACUGGUUGCUAAAGGUGGUCGCCAUAUUUAACUAAACACUUUGGAAUACAAGUAUUUUAAGCAGGGUGUGUUUGUGUGUGUUAUAUUUACUGGUGAUACUUAAAUACCUGAUUACCAAAGGAAUACAUGUCUAUUAUAGUCUAUUGUGAGAACACAUAACACGCCUUGGACAGUUAGAUGAUCUAUCAGCCUAACCUACAGAGAUAACAGAAAAGAAGGCUGGUACUAGGAAAAGAGUUGCCUUUCCUUGAAUAAAUUCCUGGAAGUGGAACACAUGUUUUUUAAGACUUUCAUGAGCAUUACCUAAUUGUUCUACAGAAAGGUUAUAUCAGUUUGUAUUACCUUUAAGAAAGUAUGAAGGUAAAUCACUCUCUUUGUUGCCUAAUUGGAUAUUAUCUGUUUUGUUGUUUUUUUUUUUUAAUUUGGGGGCAUUAACUUGUUUUUGUAAAAUUUUGAAAGGGACACUUAAACCAGGACAUCUCCCUGGGAGUAGUGCAAGAAUGGAGAAAGGACCAGGGAAGGAGGAAACUGACAUACGAGUCCCAGCAGAUGCCACUAGAUUUCCUACUUCUGUAAUCCUAGGUUAAAAUCACUUUGAGUUCAAGAAAUGUGGGG